UACCUUCCGCGCUUCCUGACGACAAGAUCUCAUGGACUGGUUUGCUGCAUCUCUUUCUAACACAUUGUAUCGAAAAUCUAUGAUGACAUUCAGUGUGAACAUAGGCACGGAAGAGGAGGACAACUAUAGCAGCUUUACUGUGCGUAAGAGUGAAACAACACUAAUCCAAAUAAAAAAGAUGGUGUCGUCACUUCGCUCUGAAAGACACUCUCUCUAUGCUAAUAUAUAACUCUAUGGUUGCACGUUAUUAGGGAGAGAUUAAAUGUCCAGCAAACGACGGCAAUGUUGCCAGAUUCCUUUUAGCGGGAAUUUUAAAAUUUUAUAGCAGUUUGGUUUUAAAUUUGACAGUUCUGAUUUCUCAAGUCAAAAAUCUUAACCUUACUUUUACAAGUGAUUAGGAUUAUUAUUAUUAUUUUAUUUACAAGUAAAUUGAAACAAUAAAUAUUGUGCUGUGUCAUAAUUUCAAACUCAUUAUGUUGCAGUCUUUUCCAGUUGAUAAAAUUGCAAUUCAAAAACUUUUAGGUAGAUUUGCACUGUAUGGAUGGCACAGGAAGAGAACAAGAACAUGAAACAUCUUAUUAUGAAUGUAUAUGUAUGUGAUCCUCAAAAAAUUAUUUUACAAAACAAGAUAGAGAAAGAGCUUUAAAAUCCCAAGGAUCCUGCAAAAUGUUUAUUUGGUUUACUAGUCGAAUAAUAGUAUCUAAAAAUAUUGAAACUAUUUUAAAACACAUUACGGGCAUGAGGAUGAUAUAGAGCACUUACAUAAAUACCAAAAUCAGAUAAAUAUCUCUUCAAAGUUUAUUUUGAGACUUUCUUCAAAAAUUUAACUUCAGACUGUUCAGGAUAGCAUAAUAGCAUAGGAGGCGAAUUAAAAAGAAUUGAUUUACUUACAAGAAAAGAUAUCACAAACAUUAAACUCUCUUAUGGCAUUGAUUUGAAAGAUGGGUAUAUGUACAAUGAUGAUGCAACCAGUGUUUAUUUUUGGGUUGAAUGCUUACAGACUCAUGUCCAAUAUUAUUUUACAAACAACAGGGCAUACUAAUGGAUAUUCAUUCUGAAUUUAACAUUUAUGAUUUUUGUCUUAUUUCCUUAAUACUGUGCCAAAAGGAAAUGUUAAUUAAGUUUGGUAUAGUAUUUUUACUACAAAAACGUUAUUAUGUAGGUCAAAAUUUUUGACGUAAGAGAACUGUCAAAACAUUAGAAUGUGACUUUUCAUUAUUGCCGUGUUUAUAAUAAACAUAGCAAUAAUGAAAAGUCACAUUCUAAUGUUUUGACAGUUCUCUUACGUCAAAAAUUUUGACCUACGUAAUAACGUUUUUGUAGUAAAAAUACUAUAAAUCCUUUAUAGCAAUCGAUGGAACUCAUGGGCUCAAUUCCUAUGACUUUGAACUUAUUGACAGUAUUAGUAAAAGAUGAAUUUGGGAAUGGAUUUUGUACUGCUUUCUUAUUUUCAAAUAGAAAAGAUACCUACUUUAAUUUACCAAUUUUUUUAAAUACAUGUCUGUGUUGGUAUUAUAUGUAUAGUCAAAUGUUUUCAUAUCAGGCAUAAGCGACACCUUUUACAAUGCCUCGUCAAAUGUAAUGGGUAUUGCUCCUAAUAGACUGUUAAGUGCCUGGCACAUAGAUAGGGCAUGGUAAGUAAAUCUUAAUAAAAUAUCUGAUUCUGAAAAAAAUACUAUUAUGUAUACAAGAUGUAUUAAUGAUGGUUUAGAGAGUAUUAAUAGCUUUUUGGGUAGACUUAAGUGAUGUAGAUACAUACAAUUUUAGUAAAUAUUUCCAGUAGAACUACUGCAAUAACAUCCAACAAUGGGCCUAUUGUUAUAGGAAGGGGUUGUGGAAUUAAUACCAAUAUGACCAUUCAAAAUUUUCAUAAAAUUUUGGAUAAAAGGGUAUCCAUUAGUUGUUAUCAGUUAAGUUUAAAACUUGGCACUCAUGGAGAGCUAUACCAUAAUAUAUAAUAGGUAUAUCUCAUAAUAUUACAUCUCAUAUUGUUCACUACAGUAGUAAUGAGUGAGCCUGCAUACACAGAACCAUAAUAAUAUAUUAUAGUUCGU